UGUGGGAGCGGGCUUGCUCGCGAAUGCGGUCUGUCAGCCAGUUCAUGAGUGGCUGAUCCACCGCUAUCGCGAGCAAGCCCGCUCCCACA
rnacentral:misc_RNA from 1 species